rnacentral:rRNA from 1 species
UGGGGAAUUUUGGACAAUGGGCGAAAGCCUGAUCCAGCAAUGCCGCGUGUGUGAAGAAGGCCUUCGGGUUGUAAAGCACUUUUGUCCGGAAAGAAAUCCUUGGCUCUAAUACAGUCGGGGGAUGACGGUACCGGAAGAAUAAGCACCGGCUAACUACGUGCCAGCAGCCGCGGUAAUACGUAGGGUGCAAGCGUUAAUCGGAAUUACUGGGCGUAAAGCGUGCGCAGGCGGUUUGCUAAGACCGAUGUGAAAUCCCCGGGCUCAACCUGGGAACUGCAUUGGUGACUGGCAGGCUAGAGUAUGGCAGAGGGGGGUAGAAUUCCACGUGUAGCAGUGAAAUGCGUAGAGAUGUGGAGGAAUACCGAUGGCGAAGGCAGCCCCCUGGGCCAAUACUGACGCUCAUGCACGAAAGCGUGGGGAGCAAACAGGAUUAGAUACCCUGGUAGUCCACGCCCUAAACGAUGUCAACUAGUUGUUGGGGAUUCAUUUCCUUAGUAACGUAGCUAACGCGUGAAGUUGACCGCCUGGGGAGUACGGUCGCAAGAUUAAAACCCAAAGGAAUUGACGGGGUCAUGCUGUUUCCU